UAAGUUGACUGCCGGUGACAAACCGGAGGAAGGUGGGGAUGACGUCAAAUCAUCAUGCCCCUUAUGAUUUGGGCUACACACGUGCUACAAUGGACGGUACAAAGGGCAGCGAACCCGCGAGGUCAAGCAAAUCCCAUAAAGCCGUUCUCAGUUCGGAUUGUAGUCUGCAACUCGACUACAUGAAGCUGGAAUCGCUAGUAAUCGUAGAUCAGCAUGCUACGGUGAAUACGUUCCCGGGUCUUGUA
rnacentral:rRNA from 1 species